CGAGUGCGUUCAGAGUUUGAUCCUGGCUCAGGACGAACGCUGGCGGCGUGCCUAAUACAUGCAAGUAGAACGCUGAGGACUGGUGCUUGCACCGGUUCAAGGAGUUGCGAACGGGUGAGUAACGCGUAGGUAACCCACCUCAUAGCGGGGGAUAACUAUUGGAAACGAUAGCUAAUACCGCAUGACAAUGGAGGACCCAUGUCUUUCAUUUAAAAGGUGCAACUGCAUCACUAUGAGAUGGACCUGCGUUGUAUUAGCUAGUUGGUGAGGUAACGGCCCACCAAGACAAUGAUGGGUAGCCGGCCUGAGAGGGUGAACGGCCACAAGGGGACUGAGACACGGCCCUU
rnacentral:rRNA from 1 species